rnacentral:rRNA from 1 species
UGCGCAGGUGGAACUUUAAGUCAGUGGUGAAAUCUUGCCGCUUAACGGUAAAAUUGCCAUUGAUACUGAAGUUCUUGAAUAUGGUUGAGGUAGGCGGAAUGUGUUGUGUAGCGGUGAAAUGCAUAGAUAUGACACAGAACUCCGAUUGCGAAGGCAGCUUACUAAACCAUUAUUGACGCUGAGGCACGAAAGCGUGGGGAGCGAACAGGAUUAGAUACCCUGGUAGUCC